rnacentral:rRNA from 1 species
GGACGAACGCUGGCGGCGCGCCUAACACAUGCAAGUCGAGCGGGAAACUUUUUAAGGAUUCUUCGGAUGAAUUAAAAGUGGAGAGCGGCGGACGGGUGAGUAACGCGUGAGAAACCUGCCCUAUACAGGGGGAUAGCCAUUGGAAACGAUGAUUAAUACCCCAUAUGACCACAGUAUCGCAUGAUACAGCGGUGAAAACUCCGGUGGUAUAGGAUGGUCUCGCGUCUGAUUAGCUAGUUGGUGGGGUAACGGCCUACCAAGGCGACGAUCAGUAGCCGGCCUGAGAGGGUGACCGGCCACACUGGAACUGAGACACGGUCCAGACUCCUACGGGAGGCAGCAGUGGGGAAUUUCCAAUGGGCGAAGCCUGAGAGCACGCGUG